UACGGAGGGUGCGAGCGUUGUCCGGAAUCAUUGGGCGUAAAGGGCGCGUAGGUGGCCCGGUCAGCGUGCGGUGAAAGCUCGGGGCUCAACCCCGAGUCGGCCGUGCGAACUGCUGGGCUCGAGCACUGUAGAGGCAGGCGGAAUUCCGGGUGUAGCGGUGGAAUGCGUAGAGAUCCGGAAGAACACCGGUGGCGAAGGCGGCCUGCUGGCAGUGGCUGGACGCUGAUGACGCGACAGCAUGGGAGCGAACGGG
rnacentral:rRNA from 1 species